rnacentral:rRNA from 1 species
AACGAACGCUGGCGGCAUGCCUAACAGAUGCAAGUCGCACGAGACCGUCGGGUCGAGUGGCGCACGGGUGCGGAACGCGUGGGAAUCUGCCCUUGGGUUCGGAGUAACAGUUAGAAAUGCCUGCUAAUACCGGAUGAUGUCUUCGGAUCAAAGAUUUAUCGCGCAGGGAUGAGCCCGCGUAGGAUUAGGUAGUUGGUGGGGUAAUGGCACACCAAGCCGACGAUCCUUAGCUGGUCUGAGAGGAUGAUCAGCCACACUGGGACUGAGACCCGGCCCAGACUCCUACGGGAGGCAGCAGUGGGGAAUAUUGGACAAUGGGCGAAAGCCUGAUCAAGCAAUGCCGCGUGAGUGAUGAAGGCCUUAGGGUUGUAAAGCUCUAUUACCAGGGAUGAUAAUGACAGUACCUGGAGAAUAAGCUCCGGCUAACUCCGUGCCAGCCGCCGCAGUAAAAC